rnacentral:rRNA from 1 species
GACGAACGCUGGCGGCGUGCCUAAUACAUGCAAGUAGAACGCUGAAGGAGGAGCUUGCUUCUCUGGAUGAGUUGCGAACGGGUGAGUAACGCGUAGGUAACCUGCCUGGUAGCGGGGGAUAACUAUUGGAAACGAUAGCUAAUACCGCAUAACAGUAGAUAUCGCAUGAUAUCUACUUGAAAGGUGCAAUUGCAUCACUACCAGAUGGACCUGCGUUGUAUUAGCUAGUUGGUGAGGUAACGGCUCACCAAGGCGACGAUACAUAGCCGACCUGAGAGGGUGAUCGGCCAACCUGGGACUGAGACGCGGCCCAGACUCCUACGGGAGACGGCAGUAGGGAAUCUUCGGCAAUGGACGGAAGUCUGACCGAGCAACGCCGCGUGAGUGAAGAAGGUUUUCGGAUCGUGAAGCUCUGUUGUAAGGGAAGAACGAGUGUGAGAGUGGAAAGUUCACACUGUGACGGUAUCUUACCAGAAAGGGACGGCUAACUACGUG